rnacentral:rRNA from 1 species
GACGAACGCUGGCGGCGUGCUUAACACAUGCAAGUCGAACGGAAAGGCCUCUUUCGGGGGGUACUCGAGUGGCGAACGGGGGAGUAACACGUGAGUAACUUGCCCUUGACUUUGGGUUAACUUCAGGAAACUGGGGCUAAUACCGGAUAGGAGCUCCUGCUGCAGGGUGGGGGUUGGAAAGUUUCGGCGGUUGGGGAUGGACUCGCGGCUUAUCAGCUUGUUGGUGGGGUAGUGGCUUACCAAGGCUUUGACGGGUAGCCGGCCUGAGAGGGUGACCGGCCACAUUGGGACUGAGAUACGGCCCAGACUCCUACGGGAGGCAGCAGUGGGGAAUAUUGCACAAUGGGUGGAAGCCUGAUGCAGCAACGCCGUGUGCGGGAUGACGGCCUUCGGGUUGUAAACCGCUUUCGCUCAUGACGAAGCUUUGUGUGACGGUAGUGGGUAAAGAAGCACCGGCUAACUACGUG